AGUGAACGCUGGCGGUAGGCCUAACACAUGCAAGUCGAACGGUAGAACACUAAGAGCUUGCUCUGACGGGUUGCGAGUGGCGGACGGGAGAGGAAUACAUCGGAAUCUACUUUUUCGUGUGGGAUAACGUAGGGAAACUUAAGAUAAUACCGCAUACGACCUUCGGGUGAAAGCAGGGGAUCUUCGGACCUUGCGCGAUUGAAUGAGUCGAUGUCGGAUUAGCUAGUUGGCGGGGUAUAGGCCCACCAAGGCGACGAUCCUUAGCUGGUCUGAGAGGAUGAUCGGGCGCACUGUAACUGAGACACGGACCAGACUCCUACGGGAGGCAGGGGGGGAGAAGAUGGGACAAUGGGCGCAAGCCUGAUCCAGUGAUGCCGCGUGGGUGAGGGAGGCCUUGGGGUUUUAGAGCCGUUAUGUUGGGAAGGAAAAGCAGCAGGUGAAUACACCGCUGUUCUGAGGGUACUGAGUGAAUAAGCACCGGCUAACUACGUG
rnacentral:rRNA from 1 species